UUCAUAGGCACCAUUGCUAGGAAGCCACACUUAUGCUCAAUUAAGUACAAGAAUUGGCAUGAAGUGCCAGAUCAGUAUAAAGAAGAUUGUUGGAAUAUUAUCGAGUCCAAGUUUGCCAUUCCUCAAGAUGAGAGAAGGGAUAUGAUUAGGCAUCGAACAUUGAAGUCAAUGGGAGAGAAAUGGAGAAAUUGGAAAUGUAGUUUAAAAGCAA